UACGUAGGGUGCAAGCGUUAAUCGGAAUUACUGGGCGUAAAGCGUGCGCAGGCGGUUAUGUAAGACCGGUGUGAAAUCCCCGGGCUUAACCUGGGAACUGCAUUUGUGACUGCAUAGCUAGAGUACGGCAGAGGGGGAUGGAAUUCCGCGUGUAGCAGUGAAAUGCGUAGAUAUGCGGAGGAACACCGAUGGCGAAGGCAAUCCCCUGGGCCUGUACUGACGCUCAUGCACGAAAGCGUGGGGAGCAAACGGG
rnacentral:rRNA from 1 species